rnacentral:rRNA from 1 species
AUGCCCAAGUUGGUCUCUAAGGUCUUAACAAACAGGUUUCAACGCAUCUUGGAUUUGGUGCACCCUUUGCAAUCGGGCUUUUUGAAAGGUCGAUCGAUCAUUGAAAACUUUGCUCUCGCCACCGAGUUGGUUCAGACUGCUCACAAAAGAAAGCUACCGGUUAUUGCCUUAAAGCUGGACUUUCAAAAGGCCUUUGACAGUGUGAGUUGGAGCCGCCUCUUGCAGAUCUUUCAAGCUAGAGGCUUCCCGCAGAGAUGGACCCAAUGGAUUUCCUCCCUUUUAUCCACUGGCAAAUCGCGUGUUUUAAUGAAUGGUGAGCUUGGUGAUGUUUUUUCUGCCAAAAAGGGCUUUCGUCAAGGGGAUUCUCUCUCUCCC